GACGAACGCUGGCGGCGUGCUUAACACAUGCAAGUCGAACGGAAAGGCCCUGCUUUUGUGGGGUGCUCGAGUGGCGAACGGGUGAGUAACACGUGAGUAACCUGCCCUUGACUUUGGGAUAACUUCAGGAAACUGGGGCUAAUACCGGAUAGGAGCUCCUGCUGCAUGGUGGGGGUUGGAAAGUUUCGGCGGUUGGGGAUGGACUCGCGGCUUAUCAGCUUGUUGGUGGGGUAGUUGCUUACCCAGGCUUUGAGGGGUAGCCGGCCGGAGAGGGGAACCGGCCCCGUGGACUCUGAGAGGCAGCAGAGACUAAUACGGGAGGAAGGGGUGGAGAAUGUUGCAGAGGGGGCGGGAGUGUGAUGAAGCAACGCCGCGUGGGAAAUAACGUAAUUCGGGAUGAAAGGCGGUUUCGUCUGACCCGGCGCGUGUGACGGGAUAAUGAGAAAAAAAACACGGUAAAUUCGCG
rnacentral:rRNA from 1 species